UACAGAGGUCUCAAGCGUUGUUCGGAAUCACUGGGCGUAAAGGGUGUGUAGGCUGCGUGUUAAGUCAGAUGUGAAAUCCCGGGGCUCAACCUCGGAACUGCAUCCGAUACUGGCAUGCUGGAGAAUUGGAGAGGAGUCUAGAAUUCACGGUGUAGCAGUGAAGUGCGUAGAUAUCGUGAGGAAUACCAAGUGCGAAGGCAGGACUCUGGACAUUUUCUGACGCUGAGACACGAAGGCUAGGGGAGCAAACGGG
rnacentral:rRNA from 1 species